CGACUCGGCUAUCACAUAUUUUAUUUGUUAAAUUGGGCGCCAUAUUGUUACGGAACUGCAUCUUUCCCGGAGGGCAGCGCCGGCUAGCCACGGAGUCCCAGGGCGGAGUACCCCCUAUGCCCUGCAGUCCGAACAAUCGAUUCCGACUCAUCGGACGUCUCACGUCGAUUUACCAUCUCUACCACAAAUCAAAACAAAACAAAGUUAUAUGUACAUCAAGCAAACUAAGACAAUUCGACGAAAUUGGUGGCUUCGAUGUCCUUGCCACGACGCACCCACCCAACCUUGGGUGCCCCAAGAAAGAUGUGGGAGGCACACCCCAUCUCCGGCAGACCGGAGUCUAUUCCUGGUGGAUUAGGAUCGGCUCAUCUCCCCGCCCAAGAAACUCUUAAGUCCGAUCCCAGACCGUCGCCCAGAUGAGAAGCAACAACCGAAAGGGACAUUUUUAGACGCUUAAAGUUCCAAGUGUCAGGCAAAGUCGCCGCACGGCACUAAAUUGGAGGCGUUUGCCAACCGGGUCGCCUAAUCCUGAGGAGCUCCAAGGGAAAAGAAGGGACGUGCUGAUAACGUAAGUACGCUAAACAAAUUCCACAAGUUAUUAAAUUUCGCGACCCAAUUUAGAUGUAGUUGGACGCGCGCGCUCUAAUUUUAGAUUAGAUUUCACAAGUUCAACGUCGGAUGUGGUUGAAACUGCAGCCCGAAUGGAAAAACGCUAGCGGCGAAAACCAGCGCGAGUCCGCACGGAGCCAGUUGGUCCGGAGGAUAGUGCAGCGUGGCCGGAGGCAGUGCGUCGGUGGACUUGGAGAUGACCACGUGGCCAGCGCGGGCAUUCGUUCCCGGAACGGACUCACCGAGGGAAUCUCCGUAUCUGGCCGUCUUGGAGGCAGUCGCUGUAGCUGCUGGCGCUUGAGGCUGCUGCUGCUGCUACUGAUCGCUGCUGCUGCGGCUGAUGCUGCUGCGGCUG